rnacentral:rRNA from 1 species
AGAGUUUGAUCAUGGCUCAGAACGAACGCUUGCUGCAUGCUUUAUACAUGCAAGUCGAACGAAGGCCCUAGCUUGCUAGGUGUCCUUAGUGGCGCACGGGUGAGUAACACGUGGGAACAUACCUUAUAGUACGGAAUAACUGCGGGAAACUGUAGCUAAUACCGUAUAUUCCAGUAAUGGGAAAGAUUUAUCGCUAUAAGAUUGGCCCGCGCAAGAUUAGCUUGUUGGUGAGGUAAAAGCUCACCAAGGCUUCGAUCUUUAGCUGGUUUGAGAGGAUGAUCAGCCACACUGGGACUGAGACACGGCCCAGACUCCUACGGGAGGCAGCAGUGGGGAAUAUUGGACAAUGGGGGCAACCCUGAUCCAGCAAUGCAGCGUGAGUGACGAAGGCCUUAGGGUUGUAAAACUCUUUCAUCGGUGAGGAUAAUGACAGUAACCGAAGAAGAAGGACCGGCUAAUUCCGUGCCAGCAGCCGCGGUAAUAC